ACGGGUGAGUAAUAUAUCGGAACAUACCCUAGAGUGGGGGAUAACGUAGCGAAAGUUACGCUAAUACCGCAUACGAUCUAAGGAUGAAAGCGGGGGAUCGCAAGACCUCGUGCUCAUGGAGUGGCCGAUAUCUGAUUAGCUAGUUGGUAGGGUAAAAGCCUACCAAGGCGACGAUCAGUAGCUGGUUUGAGAGAACGACCAGCCACACUGGAACUGAGACACGGUCCAGACUCCUACGGGAGGCAGCAGUGGGGAAUUUUGGACAAUGGGGGCAACCCUGAUCCAGCAAUGCCGCGUGAGUGAAGAAGGCCUUCGGGUUGUAAAGCUCUUUUGUCAGGGAAGAAACGGUGAGUUCUAAUACAACUUGCUAAUGACGGUACCUGAAGAAUAAGCACCGGCUAACUACGUGCCAGCAGCCGCGGUAAUACGUAGGGUGCAAGCGUUAAUCGGAAUUACUGGGCGUAAAGCGUGCGCAGGCGGUUUUAUAAGUCUGAUGUGAAAUCCCCGGGCUCAACCUGGGAACUGCAUUGGAGACUGUAAGGCUAGAGUGUGUCAGAGGGGGGUAGAAUUCCACGUGUAGCAGUGAA
rnacentral:rRNA from 4 species